UACUUGCGAUCAUCGUUGGAGGAAGAACGUUUAAAUUCAUUGGCAAUCUUGGUCAUUGAAGCCGAACUUAUGAUGAGCAUAAAAUACGAUGACAUUAUUAAAGAUUUGCAAAAAUCUCACCAUAAACCACUUGAGUAUUAAAUAUUCCUAUCAUCUCUACAACACUAAAUCUUACUCUCCAAAAUUUGCCACC